rnacentral:tRNA from 1 species
UCCCUAGUAGCUCAGUCGGUUAAGAAUCUGUUUGCAAUGCAGGAGACCCAGGUUCAACCCCUGGAUCAGGAA